rnacentral:rRNA from 1 species
GUGUCAGCCGCCGCGGUAAUACAGAGGUCCCAAGCGUUGUUCGGAUUCACUGGGCGUAAAGGGUGCGUAGGCGGUCGGGUAAGUCUGAUGUGAAAUCUCACAGCUUAACUGUGAAACUGCAUUGGAUACUAUUCGGCUUGAGAGUUGGAGGGGGGACUGGAAUUCUCGGUGUAGCAGUGAAAUGCGUAGAUAUCGAGAGGAACACCAGUGGCGAAGGCGAGUCCCUGGACAACUUCUGACGCUGAGGCACGAAAGCUAGGGGAGCAAACAGGAUUAGAAACCCCUGUAGUCC